GGACGCUCACGAGGGUUUCGGCCCUUGCGGGAGUGGCGGACGGGUGAGUAGCGCGUGGGAACCUGCCUUGGAGUGGGGGAUAACCGAGGGAAACUUCGGCUAAUACCGCAUGCGCCCCGGCGCGAGCCGGGGGAAAGAUUGAUCGCUCUAAGAGGGGCCCGCGUCGGAUUAGGUAGUUGGUGGGGUAACGGCCUACCAAGCCUGUGAUCCGUAGCUGGUCUGAGAGGAUGAUCAGCCACACUGGGACUGAGACACGGCCCAGACUCCUACGGGAGGCAGCAGUGGGGAAUAUUGGACAAUGGGCGCAAGCCUGAUCCAGCAAUGCCGCGUGAGUGAUGAAGGCCUUAGGGUUGUAAAGCUCUUUCGGCGGGGACGAUGAUGACGGUACCCGCAGAAGAAGCCCCGGCUAACUUCGUG
rnacentral:rRNA from 1 species